CACGUAGGCACCAAGCGUUGUCCGGAUUUACUGGGCGUAAAGAGCUCGUAGGCGGUUGAGUAAGUCGGGUGUGAAAACUCUGGGCUUAACCCAGAGCCGCCACUCGAUACUGCUCUGACUUGAGUACGGUAGGGGAGCAGGGAAUUCCUAGUGUAGCGGUGAAAUGCGCAGAUAUCAGGAGGAACACCGGUGGCGAAGGCGGGUCUCUGGGCAACAACUGACGCUGAGGAGCGAAAGCGUGGGGAGCGAACAGG
rnacentral:rRNA from 1 species